rnacentral:lncRNA from 1 species
CAUGGUGGAGGUGGGGUUAUGGUAUGGGCCCCAUGGUGGCGGUGGGGUUAUGGUAUGGGCCCCAUGGUGGAGGUGGGGUUAUGGUAUGGGCCCCAUGGUGGAGGUGGGGUUAUGGUAUGGGCCCCAUGGUGGGGUUAGGGUGUGGUAUGGGCCCCAUGGUGGAGGUGGGGUUUAUGGUAUGGGCCCCAUGGUGGAGGUGGGUUUAUGGUAUGGGCCCGAUGGUGGAGGUGGGGUUAUGGUAUGGGCCCCAUGGUGGAGGUGGGGUUAUGGUAUGGGCCCCAUGGUGGCAGUGGGGUUAGGGUGUGGUAUGGGCCCCAUGGUGGAGGUGGGGUUUAUGGUAUGGGCCCCAUGGUGGAGGUGGGGUUAUGGUAUGGGCCCCAUGGUGGAGGUGGGGUUAUGGUAUGGGCCCCAUGGUGGAGAUGUGGGGAUAUGGUAUGGGCCCCAUGGUG